rnacentral:piRNA from 2 species
UGGGACUUUGUCUGGAUAUGGUCUCCUGC